rnacentral:rRNA from 1 species
GUUAGUGGCGAAAGGGUGAGGAAUAGAUAGGAACGUACCCUGUGCUCUGGGAUAGCGUCUGAAGCUUCGGCUUCUUCCGAAAGGGGCGGUAAUACCAGAUAAUGUCCUUGCGGGACCAAAGAUUUAUCGGCAUUGGAGCGGCCUAUCUCCUAUCAGCUUGUUGGUGAGGUAACGGCUCACCAAGGCAACGACGGGUAGCGGGACUGAGAGGUUGGCCCGCCACAUCGGGACUGAGACACUGCCCGGACCUCCACGGAGGGCUGCAGUAACGGAUAUUGGGCAAUGGGCGAAAGCCUGACCCAGCAAUGCCGCGUGCAGGAUGAAGCCNNCCUAGGGGUGUAACACUGCUGUCAGGGUGUCAGAANAAGCUGGUUUCCGGCCAGUUGAAUCAACCCCAGAAGGAAGUCACGGCUAACUUCGUGCCAGCAGCCGCGGUAAUACGAAGGUGGCAAGCGUUAUUCGGAAUCAUUGGGCUUAAAGGGCACGCAGUGCGGAAACAGUGUGUGUUUGUGUGAAAUCCCCCGGCUUAACCGGGGAAUUGCACAGCAAACUGCUGUUCUUGAGGCAGGUAGGGGUGCAUGGAACUCUUGGUGGAGCGGUGGAAUGCGUAGAUAUCAAGAGGAACGCCAGAGGUGAAGACGGUGCACUGGGCCUGUCCUGACGCUGAGGUGCGAAAGCGUGGGGAGCGAACGGGAUUAGAUACCCCGGUAGUCCACGCCGUAAACGAUGUCUACUAGGUCGUGGGUGUUCUGACACAUUCACGGCCGGAGCAAAAGUGUUUAGUAGACCGCCUGGGGAGUACGGCCGCAAGGUUAAAACUCAAAUGAAUUGACGGGGGCUCACACAAGCGGUGGAGCAUGUGGAUUAAUUCGAAGCAACGCGCAGAACCUUACCUGGGUUUGACAUGCUUGUAUGCCUUCUCUGAAAGGAGUUAGGUUGCCUUCGGGUGAAACUUGCACAGGUGCUGCAUGGCUGUCGUCAGCUCGUGUCGUGAGAUGUCGGGUUAAGUCCUUUAACGAGCGAAACCCUUGCCGUUAGUUGCCAGCGAGUAAUGUCGGGGACUCUAACGGGACUGCCGGUGUUAAACCGGAGGAAGGUGGGGAUGACGUCAAGUCCUCAUGGCCUUUAUGCCCAGGGCUUCACACGUGCUACAAUGGCAAUUACAGAGCGACGCGAUACCGCGAGGUGGAGCAAAUCGCAAAAAAAUUGCCUCAGUUCGGAUUGCAGGCUGGCAAUUCGCCUGCAUGAAGUCGGAAUCGCUAGUAAUCGCGUAUCAGCAAUGACGCGGUGAAUGUGUUCCUGAGCCUUGUACACACCGCCCGUCAAGUGAUGGAAGCCGGGAGUACCCGAAGUCGGGUUGCUAACCUUUGGGAGGCGCCUGCCGACGGUAAG